rnacentral:rRNA from 1 species
CAUGCAAGUCGAGCGGAGAGAGGUAGCUUGCUACUGAACUUAGCGGCGGACGGGUGAGUAAUGCUUAGGAAUCUGCCUAUUAGUGGGGGACAACAUUUCGAAAGGAAUGCUAAUACCGCAUACGUCCUACGGGAGAAAGCAGGGGAUCUUCGGACCUUGCGCUAAUAGAUGAGCCUAAGUCGGAUUAGCUAGUUGGUGGGGUAAAGGCCUACCAAGGCGACGAUCUGUAGCGGGUCUGAGAGGAUGAUCCGCCACACUGGGACUGAGACACGGCCCAGACUCCUACGGGAGGCAGCAGUGGGGAAUAUUGGACAAUGGGCGGAAGCCUGAUCCAGCCAUGCCGCGUGUGUGAAGAAGGCCUUAUGGUUGUAAAGCACUUUAAGCGAGGAGGAGGCUACUUUAGUUAAUACCUAGAGAUAGUGGACGUUACUCGCAGAAUAAGCACCGGCUAACUCUGUGCCAGCAGCCGCGGUAAUACAGAGGGUGCAAGCGUUAAUCGGAUUUACUGGGCGUAAAGCGCGCGUAGGCGGCUAAUUAAGUCAAAUGUGAAAUCCCCGAGCUUAACUUGGGAAUUGCAUUCGAUACUGGUUAGCUAGAGUGUGGGAGAGGAUGGUAGAAUUCCAGGUGUAGCGGUGAAAUGCGUACAGAUCUGGAGGAAUACCGAUGGCGAAGGCAGCCAUCUGGCCUAACACUGACGCUGAGGUGCGAAAGCAUGGGGAGCAAACAGGAUUAGAUACCCUGGUAGUCCAUGCCGUAAACGAUGUCUACUAUCCGUUGGGGCCUUUGAGGCUUUACUG